UACGUAGGGUGCAAGCGUUAAUCGGAAUUACUGGGCGUAAAGCGCACGCAGGCGGUGCUGCGCGUUUGGGGUUACAGCUCCCGGCUCAACCGGGAGAGCGCCUCGAAGACGGCAGCACUUGAGGGCCAGAGAGGGACACGGAACUCCGGGUGGAGUGGUGAAAUGCGUAGAUAUCGGGAGGAACACCAGUGGCGAAGGCGGCUUUCUGGUCUGCUCUUGACGCUGAGGCGCGAAAGCUAGGGUAGCAAACGGG
rnacentral:rRNA from 1 species